rnacentral:lncRNA from 1 species
UCUGGUUCCAGAUUCUUCUUCUUACUACUCUGAAUGACACUGUCCUCCCGUGACCUACCUUGGGAAAUCAAGACCAGGUCUGGCGGUUGGAGAUGUAGCUCAGUGGUAGAGCUCUUGCCUAGCAUGUAGGAGGGAGGCACUGGGUUCAACUGAGGCACAGAAAACAGCAAACAGCAAACCUGAACACAAGCCCCCCAAAUGGAAGUGGUGAAGCCUCAGAGCAACUCAUCAACCCACCCUGGCACGAAGUUCUGAUUCCAUCAGAUGCUCCAGUUUUAUAGGUCAGUACUGGGG